CCCCUCACAGGAUCACACCUGGAGAGUUUCUAGUUCUCUACCAGUCUCGGCUAUGGGGAGGGGGAAAGAGUCAAGCAGAGGAAUACCCAUUCCAUUCCUAGCUUGGGCAAUGGCUAGCGAGUGGAAGGCAAUCUGCUACAAGU